CGAACGCUGGCGGCGUGCUUAACACAUGCACGUCGAACGGAAAGGCCCUGCUUUUGUGGGGUGCUCGAGUGGCGAACGGGUGAGUAACACGUGAGUAACCUGCCCUUGACUUUGGGAUAACUUCAGGAAACUGGGGCUAAUACCGGAUAGGAGCUCCUGCUGCAUGGUGGGGGUUGGAAAGUUUCGGCGGUUGGGGAUGGACUCGCGGCUUAUCAGCUUGUUGGUGGGGUAGUGGCUUACCAAGGCUUUGACGGGUAGCCGGCCUGAGAGGGUGACCGGCCACAUUGGGACUGAGAUACGGCCCAGACUCCUACGGGAGGCAGCAGUGGGGAAUAUUGCACAAUGGGCGGAAGCCUGAUGCAGCAACGCCGCGUGCGGGAUGACGGCCUUCGGGUUGUAAACCGCUUUCGCCUGUGACGAAGCGUGAGUGACGGUAAUGGGUAAAGAAGCACCGGCUAACUACGUGC
rnacentral:rRNA from 1 species